rnacentral:lncRNA from 1 species
GGAAGCUGUUUUGAAGAUAACUACAAGUUCAGACUCAGAAAGUGAAGAUGUUUCCAGGAAAUACUGGCGAUGAUCUACAUUUGCUUCCCAGAAGAUCAAAUCCAGGAAGGGGAUUACCUACACUGUCCAGGGCAACUAAGCAUUUUGGAUUCAUUUUCGAGCAUGUGAGUUGGAAAAACAGGCAAAAUGGUGAAGAUAAGGGAGACAGGGAAGUGGCUGAGGGAGAAGACAUGUGUGACAUAUACGCCAGCCUUUGCACCAAAACUUGGUAAGAUGUUGAUGCUGACAGAUACCUUUCAAUGUACACUUAAACA